rnacentral:rRNA from 1 species
UUCCGGUUGAUCCCGCCGGACCUGACUGCUAUCGGAUUGAUACUAAGCCAUGCGAGUCAUUGUAGCAAUACAAGGCAUGCGGCUCAGUAACGCGUAGUCAACCUAACCUAUGGACGGGAAUAACCUCGGGAAACUGAGAAUAAUGCCCGAUAGAACAUUAUACCUGGAAUGGUUUAUGUUCCAAAUGAUUUAUCGCCAUAGGAUGGGACUGCGGCCUAUCAGUUUGUUGGUGAGGUAAUGGCCCACCAAGACUAUUACAGGUACGGGCUCUGAGAGGAGUAGCCCGGAGAUGGGUACUGAGACACGGACCCAGGCCCUAUGGGGCGCAGCAGGCGAGAAAACUUUGCAAUGUGCGAAAGCACGACAAGGUUAAUCCGAGUGAUUUCUGCUAAAGAGAUCUUUUGUUAGUCCUAGAAACACUAACGAAUAAGGGGUGGGCAAGUUCUGGUGUCAGCCGCCGCGGUAAAACCAGCACCUCAAGUGGUCAGGAUGAUUAUUGGGCCUAAAGCAUCCGUAGCCGGCUCUGUAAGUUUUCGGUUAAAUCUGUACGCUCAACGUACAGGCUGCCGGGAAUACUGCAGAACUAGGGAGUGGGAGAGGUAGACGGUACUCGGUAGGAAGUGGUAAAAUGCUUUGAUCUAUCGAUGACCACCUGUGGCGAAGGCGGUCUACCAGAACACGUCCGACGGUGAGGGAUGAAAGCUGGGGGAGCAAACCGGAUUAGAUACCCGGGUAGUCCCAGCUGUAAACUAUGCAAACUCAGUGAUGCAUUGGCUUGUGGCCAAUGCAGUGCUGCAGGGAAGCCGUUAAGUUUGCCGCCUAGGAAGUACGUACGCAAGUAUGAAACUUAAAGGAAUUGGCGGGGGAGCACCACAAGGGGUGAAGCCUGCGGUUCAAUUGGAUUCAACGCCGGGAA